GCAGGACCUACUUAAAUGAUUUUUUGGGGGUUAGGACCUUCUGGGAAUUGAAGGGGUUCAAAAUUGGUUUUUUUUUUUUACGUGUCCACCGUACAUUCUUUCGGCAAGUCUCGCCAGCUCCGUACGGCAAAGUUCGACAUCGGACAUAGCUCAAAUGAAAGGUAAUGAAUCAGAGCAGGACCCACUUAAAUGAUUUUUUGGGGGUUAGGACCUUCUGGGAAUUGAAGGGGUUCAAAGUUGGUAUUCUUUUUUUUUUUACGUGUCCACCGUACAUUCUUUCGGCAAGUCUCGCCAGCUCCAUACGGCAAAGUUCGACACCGGACAUAGCUCAAAUGAAAGGUAAUGAAUCAGAGCAGGACCCACUUAAAUGAUUUUUUGGGGGUUAGGACCUUCUGGGAAUUGAAGGGGUUCAAAGUUGGUAUUCUUUUUUUUUUUACGUGUCCACCGUACAUUCUUUUGGCAAGUUUCGCCAGCUCCGUACGACAAAGUUCGACACCGGACAUAGCUCAAAUGAAAGGUAAUGAAUCAGAGCAGGACCCACUUAAAUGAUUUUUUGGGGGUUAGGACCUUCUGGGAAUUGAAGGGGUUCAAAAUUGGUUUUUUUUUUUUUACGUGUCCACCGUACAUUCUUUCGGCAAGUCUCGCCAGCUCCGUACGGCAAAGUUCGACAUCGGACAUAGCUCAAAUGAAAGGUAAUGAAUCAGAGCAGGACCCACUUAAAUGAUUUUUUGGGGGUUAGGACCUUCUGGGAAUUGAAGGGGUUCAAAGUUGGUAUUUUUUUUUUACGUGUCCACCGUACAUUCUUUCAGCAAGUCUCGCCAGCUCCGUUCGGCUAAAUUCGACAUCGGACAUAGCUCAAAUGAAAGGUAAUGAAUCAGAGCAGGACCCACUUAAAUGAUUUUUUGGGGGUUAGGACCUUCUGGGAAUUGAAGGGGUUCAAAGUUGGUAUUCUUUUUUUUUUUACGUGUCCACCGUACAUUCUUUCGGCAAGUCUCGCCAGCUCCGUACGGCAAAGUUCGACACCGGACAUAGCUCAAAUGAAAGGUAAUGAAUCAGAGCAGGACCCACUUAAAUGAUUUUUUGGGGGUUAGGACCUUCUGGGAAUUGAAGGGGUUCAAAGUUGGUAUUCUUUUUUUUUUACGUGUCCACCGUACAUUCUUUCGGCAAGUCUCGCCAGCUCCGUACGGGAAAGUUCGACACUGGACAUAGCUCAAAUGAAAGGUAAUGAAUCAGAGCAGGACCCACUUAAAUGAUUUUUUGGGGGUUAGGACCUUCUGGGAAUUGAAGGGGUUCAAAGUUGACAUUCGAAGUGUACGGGUUUUUUUUAAACAAAAAAAUCUUUACAUUUCUUUUAAGUAAGGAUGCAUGCCAUACAAAAUAGUACACGUAUACUUUCAAUUCAAAAUAUUGUUUGUGGGCAUGAAAUGUACUCUUACAGUUUGUUAUUUUGUA